AAUGGGCGAGAGCCUGAACCAGCCAAGUCGCGUGAAGGAAGACGGCCUUAUGGGUUGUAAACUUCUUUUGCAGGGGAAUAAAAAGUAGGACGCGUCCUAUAUUGCAUGUACCCUGCGAAUAAGCAUCGGCUAACUCCGUGCCAGCAGCCGCGGUAAUACGGAGGAUGCGAGCGUUAUCCGGAUUUAUUGGGUUUAAAGGGUGCGCAGGCGGGCUUUUAAGUCAGCGGUGAAAUCUGGUCGCUUAACGAUCAAACUGCCGUUGAAACUGGGAGUCUUGAGUAUAGAUGAAGUAGGCGGAAUUCGUUGUGUAGCGGUGACAUGCUUAGAUAUAACGAGGAACUCCGAUUGCGUAGGCAGCUUACUAAACUAUAACUGACGCUCAAGCACGAAAGCGUGGGGAUCAAA
rnacentral:rRNA from 1 species